GACGAACGCUGGCGGCGUGCUUAACACAUGCAAGUCGAACGGAAAGGCCCUGCUUUUGUGGGGUGCUCGAGUGGCGAACGCGUGAGUAACACGUGAGUAACCUGCCCUUGACUUUGUGAUAUAUCUACGAAACUGGGGCUAUUACCGGAUAGGAGCUCCUGCUGCGUGUUGGUGGUUGGAAAGUUUCGGCGGUUGGGGAUGGACUCGCGGCUUAUCAGCUUGUUGGUGGGGUAGUGGCUUACCAAGGCUUUGAAGGGUAGCCGGCCUGAGAGGGUGACCGGCCACAUUGGGACUGAGAUACGGCCCAGACUCGUACGGGAGGCAGCAGUGGGAAAUAUUGCGCAAUGGGCGGAAGCCUGAUGCAGAAACGCCGCGUGCGGGAUGACGGCCUUCGGGUUGUGAACCACUGUCGCCGGUGACGAAGCGGGAGUGACGGUAAUGGGUAAAGAAGCACCGGCUAACUACGUG
rnacentral:rRNA from 1 species